CAACCAUCUACCAGCAAUAAUAGUCACCCUAGUCCUUAGCUCCAACCUAAACAAGUCAGUAUCACUCCCUCAAGCUACCUCUCCUGUUCCAGCAUAUGGCUAACAAAAGAAUUUCUCUUUUACCUAGUUGAAAUUAGAUUAUUUUUUGCUUGCUAUGUAUAGGAUAUAACAUAGCAUAGCAACUAAAUUUCUAACUCAUCAAUAAUAACUAAUAAAUACUCCUAUGUAUUUAUCAUCAAGUAUCAAUUCUGUGGGAAUAUAUUAUUCAGCCUCUUUUCCUCAAAGAAAAUUUGAACCAAGUUAACAUGGAAAUUUUGGAGCAAUCCUUGAAAUUAAAAAUCAGAUGACAAACUUAAAAUUACAUUAAAAAAAAAUAUGAACGAGCAGCUACAAAGCCAAAAGGAACUUACUUUAUCCUCAAGUAAUUUGC
rnacentral:misc_RNA from 1 species